GCCGGAGUGGCGAAACUGGUAAACGCGUACGAUUCAAAAUCGUAUGAAUUUUGUUCUUGUGGGUUCGAGUCCCACCUCCGGCA
rnacentral:tRNA from 1 species